UUUAUUUUAAUGAUUUAUUCUUUUUGUAAGAUGUAUCCAUUAAUUUAUGUAAUUGUAAAUGUUUUGUAGUAAUAUUCAUUAACUGUUUUUCUUCGUUCUUGUAUUUUUUAUUUUCAUAUAUUUUAUUAAUAUAUUCAAUUUUACUGAUAUUCAUAUUUUGAGGGGUGAUUAAAUGGUAGUUGAUUAAAUGCUUUGCUAUAAU
rnacentral:lncRNA from 1 species